CCCAUGUUUGUAAAUGCUAAUGUUUUUGUGUGUUUGAAGACCGGAGAAGUAGGUUAUUUGCCGUCUAGCCAAUAUACUUUUGUAUGUUUUAUCCUGUGCAUAAGUGCUUAAUCGUUUAUAUCAUGAGAUUUUGGCCAAGUGUAUUAAACGACAAGGAAAAACUAAGCGCCCAUAUAGCAACAAUAAACUUUAUAUACCCUGUAAAAGUUGAUGAAAGCGUAUAAUGCGAUGCACUUGCCUUAGAUGCUGCCGUUCUAUUGACAGACAAAACGCAGAUCUCCCUCAUUCCCUGGGCAAAAACCUUGUUAACUCCAUUUGAGCUUGUUUUUCAUAUAGCCUAAUGUUAAGUGCAAGUGUCUGAUAAAAUAACACUGAUGACGCAGUGUUGUUUAAUUAUUGACUUUUCUCCCCCAAUCCCCCCCGCCGCCGCCGCCGCCAUACCCUAUGGUUUUGUGAAACGCUGCCACUGCUCAUGAGUGCCGUCCACCAUGUUUGUGCGGGUUGGAUGCAAACAAAACAAUGGAUUAUCAUUAUUUACCAAGAAAUGUGGAUGUAUGGGGUCAUUUCGAUAAAGCAAUACUGGCAUCGUUGAGCAUUUAAAUUUUUAUAAUUUUUCUAGCGCAGAAGCUCAUAAAGGAACGUGCAAAAAGUUAACUUCACGUGUGAGACUGCAGCUAACGCGUCUGUUUUGCCCGAAAACGUAAGUUAAUAAAUAAACAAGAUCUUUUUCAUCUUUGAUCUAAAUAUUGUUAUGUGGGUCUAGAGUGUUUACGCUGCAGAAAACUUUGAUGAGAAACACUACGAUCCGCAAACAAACAGAUGAGGAAGAGGAGGAGGAUGACGGUCCAGCGUAUACAAUGAGAAAGUAAUCAAGAGAAGUGUCAUCGCUGAAGAAAUGGCAGAUGUCCUCAGACACCUGUGAACACUGAGCAGUGCUUGGAGUCCAAGACAGUGGACAUCAUCUUUAUUAUACCGGUACUUCUCUGACUGGACUAGCAAGGAGCAGAGCCAAUGAGAAAGUUGGUGCAGAAAUGAAAGCUCACAAAAACAAUAAUAUCACCGGAUUAAGAUGCAGAAAGACAGUUACACCACCACAACCAUAAAUCCUGAGCGAUUUGAAAAUGAGCAACAACCAAGGAACAGUAAUCAUUGUUUCACUCAAAAAUUAUCCAUGGUAAUAGUUGUAAAUAAUUAGAUAAAAGUACAAAAUGUUUAAUUUCCAAACUUUGCCAUAUACCAAUGUGUUGUUCAAAACGCUUACAAUAAGGUAUCAUUAGUAAAUGUUGAAAUUAACUAAA